GAUGAACGCUAGCGACAGGCUUAACACAUGCAAGUCGAGGGGCAGCAACACUUUCGGGUGGUUGGCGACCGGCGCACGGGUGAGUAACACGUAUGCAACCUACCUACUACUAGAGGAUAGCUCGUUGAAAGACGGAUGAAUACUUUAUUACACAGGCGUGCCGUAUGGCACUAUUGGUUAAAGAUUAAUUGGUAGUAGAUGGGAAUGCGGAGGAUUAGCUAGUUGGUUGGGGUAACGGCUCACCAAGGACACGAUCCUUAGGAGUUCUGAGAGGAAGGUCCCCCACACUGGUACUGAGACACGGACCAGACUCCUACGGGAGGCAGCAGUGAGGAAUAUUGGUCAAUGGACGAGAGUCUGAACCAGCCAAGUCGCGUGAAGGAAGACGGUAUUAUGUAUUGUAAACUUCUUUUAUAGGGGAAUAAAAUGCGGCACGUGUGCUGUUUUGUAUGUACCCUAUGAAUAAGCAUCGGCUAACUCCGUGCCAGCCGCCGCCGUAA
rnacentral:rRNA from 1 species